rnacentral:rRNA from 1 species
UACAGAGGGUGCAAACGUUGUUCGGAAUUACUGGGCGUAAAGCGCACGUAGGCGGUUCGUUAUGUCGGAUGUGAAAGCCCUUGGCUUAACCGAGGAAGUGCAUCCGAAGCUGGCGAGCUAGAGUACGAAAGAGGAUCGCGGAAUUCCCGGUGUAGAGGUGAAAUUCGUAGAUAUCGGGAGGAACACCGGUGGCGAAGGCGGCGAUCUGGGUCGAUACUGACGCUGAGGUGCGAAAGCGUGGGGAGCAAACAGG